GGGGCCUGGCAGGCGGCGCGGCGGCCGCGGUGGCAGCCCGGGAGCCUCGGCGGGAGGUGACACAGCCCGCGCCCACCCCCCACUCCCCCUCCAGCGCAGGCGGCACUGGCCCAGCUCAGAAGGGCGGGCUGUCGCGAGCAGGGGCAGCGGCAGCCGCGGAAGGGACAGGAGUCCGCACAUCCGAGAGCUGCGGCCAGGGCGGCCAGGGCCUGAAUGCAGCUCUGGGAACCGGUGCCGCCCGGCUCCUUCCAGCGGCCUCCUCGCGUCCGGAGCCCAAGCUGACGCCGGGGCCGGAAGCAGCCAGAGGCGGUGCCCGGGCCCCCACCCCCCAGGGCAGGGGGCCCGGCGAGGCCUGGGAGGCAGACAGGCCGCCAGGUGCAGCAGGCCGGGCGGGGAGAUGCCUCACUCCUCGAGGACUUGCUCGGGGACGGCGGGCAGGGGCUGAGACCCCGCGGCCCCGCGGUCACCGGUUGAGUCCCCUCAUAGGCCUGCUCGGAGACACAGAAUCCGGCGCUCGGGAGAAUGCUCACGAUCGCAUAAGGGCACGUUGGCUCUCCCUGCCCGGGCUGCGUGUCCCUUGUUUUCAGGUGUGCCUUGACUCACUCCUAGACCCGGCUGGCGAAUGCCCACGGUCCCGGAGAACCCUUGGGGGGUUUCUAGACGCGGAUCCCAGCCUUGCUGGAGACUCGAUCCCCAGAACACCCGACCACCGCCCAACCUCCACCAAUUAGCCAUCUCGGAAACAUCAGUUGGGCGCUGCCUUCCAGAACUAGCAGUGUGCCCACAGGUGCUCUGGCGAGUCUAACUGGGGCUGUUAAUUGAGCAUUUAACUCGCACCUGUAAGUGCGUCCAUCUGUGCUGAGACUCUGUGACAUCAUUGUUUGGGGCGUGGGUGCCGUGUACCGUCUCCUCCGUGCAGCCUGCUAAGUCAGAAUACAGCCAAUUUUGCCCAAAGAUGCCAAAAGCUGCAACAGCAAACACAAGCCAGAUGUAGCCCAGAGGACCUCCGUGAGCACGGAUUGAACCAAACGGCUUCCUAGUUUCCGGUUGCUGUCUCUGUGUGUACGAGAAGACGAAUUCAGACGUGUGGAAAGAACCCCAUUUGGGCCAUCCGAGACUUCGAUUUUCCCAGUUAAUCCCCAGAGGUGGAUUACAACACGUCCAACCUUUCCCGGUGACCGCGGGGACACGCAGGAUUUCUCCCACUCUCCUCUCGACAUGCUGCGCCUCCCGCUGCAAAUGGACACCCCUUUUGCCACCCGUCUGUGGCAGGGAGCAGAAUUCCGGGGACUACGGUCUUGGAGCUUCUCAGAUGGACCGUCCACCUCCUCACCGGCACUCGCGGUGCCAAAGGGAGCCCGCGCGGGUGGCCGCCGGCCCUGCAGACACAACACGGCCACACCGGGUCCCCGAGCACGGAAGUGAGCCUCAUGCAGGAAUUUUUAAAUCGCACAUGUAGUGCCUACUUCUGCUGAACAACCCUGAGCCAGACAACACGGGAUGAAGACUUCGUUUUCUUAAGAGAAAAGAACUCUCAUCAACUUCCGUGAGAAGCGUUUACCUGAAGUCUCUAUUCUUACGUGUUUCUCUGGAGCUUCCCCGGAGCCGCCAAAUCCGUGCUCGACAGCUGCGUGAGCCAGCUGGCUGCAGACAGCUCCUGGAGUGCUUAAGGAUGAUUUCUUGGCAGCUUUUGGAAGAAAACACUAAUUGAAAGGUUAAUCAAAUCAGUCAUCCUCGCGUGUUCGUUAAGCAGACGCCCCGUCUCCGCCACAGACUGAACAGAUGCGGGGCUCUGCGUCCGCGCCUUCGCUUUUGAGCACGGAAGCAGUGGGGUGGCAUUCUGAAUCGAAAUCGUGUUCUCGGUUGGGAAACUCUGCUUCCCUUUCAGGAUCUUGCGGGAUCUACGUUGGUAGCGACACUAAUUCCAAUUCUACCGGGGAUUUUUUUGUUUGUUUGUUUAUUCUGAGAGGGGGAGAGAGAGAAUCCCAAGCAGCCUCCACACUGUCGGCACAGAGUCCAAGGCGGGGCUUGAGUCCCUGAACCAACGUGAGACGAAGUCAAGUCAGACACUUGACCAACCGGGCCACCCAGGCGCCUCUGCAGGUGUUCCGCCUAAACCAAGUUCAAGAGUUAAACUGUAGAGGCUGUGCGGUUAGAGGAGAACCCAUCAAGUGGGUCACAACCGUUUCAAGGAAGACGUCUGUUUCUAGGAAGGCAUUUCGGGAAUCGUUAUGGAAGCAAACGCUGAACACGCCAGAUGCCCACGUAAAGACAAUCAGAUUUAAACACGAGUGGCUGAGAAAACGACACGGAUCUGCAAUAUGACAUGUCCCCGUCAGGGAGAAGUCAGCACGACCACCUAGAAGGACUUCGCUCCUGGUGCCCUGAACGACGCGGGGCAGAUGAGGAGGGGCGGACGACCAGCCCUCUGACGGAGCCUGCAAUCAGAUCUGUGCCCGGACACCCCUGGACGCCAUCCCCGUACCCUGUGCUGCACGUGAGAUCGCACUGCACGGCCAGCAUCCGAACCGAACGCACGCAUCAGGAUCGGGAAGGAUCAGGAGGCGGAGGCUGAGGCCUUAUUCCCCCCAACGUCCAAACGCCGAAGCCUUCCUAUUUCCCAGUACAAGGCAAAAGUAUCAAGUGACUCACUGGGACGUGGCUGACAUUUAUGAAUUUAAUGGUGAGUUAUCAGGAGUAAGAAAGCAAAUGAGGCGUUUGCUGGGACGAAAGCAGAGAUAAAGUCGAGAAAAACACGUGUCGGUUUCCCACAUCAGCAACGGAGCUGUGGACGCUACGUACCGAUAAACGUCUGACACUUGAAACACUCUUCCAGCCAGUCCGGCGUCACGAUGUGCUUCACCACGGAGAUGGCCGUCAGGAACUUCACCGUGCGCGUCACUUUGCUGGCGAUGAGGUGCGUGCAUUUCUGCGCAGACUCGGCGACCUCGCCCCCAAGGAUGUAGAGCUUCUGGAGGGAGGGGCACAGAGCGGAGGUGAGCGCGGGGCCGCGCCUGAGCGCGGCACACUGCGCUGGCCUGAGAGCCGGGAGACGGCGAGCACAGCAACGCGCACGGACGUGUCCGGAGUCGACCCCGCGCCUUGAGCUAAAACCAGCGAUUCCCCGAGGGCCCCAGUAUCACACCCCACAGACACGAUGCCCGGAGAACAAGGCGGCGCGUUUCACGAAAAGGCGCGAACAUGCCCAGACUUUCUAAGCUGAAAUGGGUGUUGAUGAGGCACAUUAACGGACAGGCCCUGUUCAUAAGAAUUAGAGAAGUGACUGAGAAGACGUGAACAUCCAGGAAAGAUCUCCGUAACUAGGCUCAAUUUUAAAAGUGAGAAAAAUUGAUACGGCACUCAGGACGGUUUCUUCUCCUUCAAAACCCGAGCGGUACGAUGAACGAAGCCCACGUGGUAACAGGCCGACUUACGCCCUCUGAACCGCCGCCCCCGAAACAACAGCCAAGCGAGAUGCCCCCUCCCUUGUGCCGUUACUUCCGACAGCACGCUGAAGGCUGCGUUCCCACUUCCUGUCCAAGCACAAGCACGCGGCCGCCCUGGUCGCCACCCAGGAGAACCGGCCUCCGGUGGCCCGCGGCUUCCCCGCCGCCGGGGGUGCUUCUGGCACGAGCACGUUCAAGCAGGUUGCUCGCGUUCGCAGGACCGUAAAUGUGGGUCUUGUCUACUCACCCGAGUUAUAUUUUCUACUAUUGAGAGAGCAAGGGUCUAAGUAUAAAACUAUAAAAACCACAGAACAAGGUGAAACGUCACUUACGAUUUAAUGGCUACUUUUACUGUAAAAACGACUACAACUGAUUUAUAAGCCAAAAACUCUGUUGUCACAAGACGUUCCCGAUUAAAUGUUACUUUAACACACUGCCAGCCUAAAGCCAAGUGCACAAAAAGGAACGGUGCUAAAACUCCUCCCAGAACGUAGAACGGAAUUUCACCUUAAUAUACUGUUGAACUUGCACAGGCUCAAAUCCAGUGAAAAGCACAAAAGGGGUCAAUUCUGGUGUUAACUUUUUGGUGGGAGGGGGUAGAUCUUCAAUUCUGUGAAAGAAAGUAAACGUGUUGUUUAGCAAACGA